AUUUAUGAAGGUAUAACGUGCUUUUAUUGUGCAAUAUAUUUGCUUUGAGGCCUGUCUGUUUACCAGAAGAAGAGAAUGUGAAUAGGUUCUGUGUAUGAGUAUCAGGAGAACUUUCAAGGCCAGUCCGAGGCAGUGGGAAAGAACAGAAACUCCAGUUCACAUGCAGCUGGAGAAAGUAAUGAGGGAAGAUAGUUAUUAGGGAGUAAGAUAGCGAUAGGAUGUGUGCGUCAUUCAUUGUGUGACUUUGUAUAAUCUGUGUUCUAACUUUAAUAAAACUAGCCUGAGCGGGAGAGAGAGCGAGAGUUGUUGCCCGGAAUCGGCAGGUGUAUCAUCUCUCCCCUUUGCAAAGGUGAAACUGAAAUUCUGCGUCCAUGGCUGAGUUAUUAUUUUAAAGUCCUGCACAACGAAUUAACGAACCCGGGGAAGCAGACGGCUUCAACAUUUGGGGGCUCGGUCCGGGAUUCGGGGUGACAGGCAGAAUUGGACUUCAGAUUGGAUCGAAAGGACGAGGGACACUGGCUGGCCACAACAAAACAAGGUAGGCAGAACCUGAAUCUGCAUUUUCGGCUUAGAAAAAUAGUCUAAAUUAAGUGUCCCAAGUCUCAGUAGAACUAAAUCUGCUAAAUUAAUGCUUUGGAGUGCCUUGGAGCAGUACUGAAAAAGUGUGGUUCAGAAAUGUAUUGAGAAUUUUGAAAAAAAAGAGAGAAAAGAAAAGAGAACGAGACCAGGCAAAAAUAGUUCUGACAUAAAAUAACAGAAAUAGAGGAAGACCUGUGAGUUCCGAAAUCUAAAGGUGUUUCUCGAGCGUGGCGGCUCACUGCGGUUCUCGACGGGGAACCGUCUUUUUGCUGGGUUAGAGGCCCGAGAAGUGAGAAACCUCGAAUUCUACAUAAAAGGUUGAGCGAGAUCAGGCAAUACACAUUGAAUGGAUGCGGAGAUAACAGAGUGACUCUGUGAAGCUCCGAUUACAGACGAAAUAAAGUUCUGAUAUAACAUUACAGAACUAAGAACAGAGUAAAAUAUAAGUUGUGCGGAUAACACAACAAGAAAAAGUCCUGUGAGCUUUAAAUCUUUUUUUUUAACAAACCGUGACCUGACGUAGAAACAGGGAGACCGGUUUAUGAGCCGUGAGCUGGACACACACACACCCAGCGAGAAUCGGACAGGGAAUAAAGAUAAAGAUAAAAUGAAUGAGCUGUUGGCUGAACACACAAUCAGCUAUGACAGACUUUUGUUAAAAAAAAAAAAAAAACAGUUUGAAUGUUGAGUGCUUGACUGGGGGAGAACGCCAAAACGCGAGCGAUCCCCACUUGCUGCGGGUUUGCAUGAGCCAUAAUAUUAAACAGCAGGACCCACUCUGAUCAAAUUUAACAUUUAGCUACAUGGGUAAAAUAAUACAAUUCAGGUUUAAGAGGUGACUUAACAAACAGAAAAUAGCUAAAAUUCCAGGAAGCUAUCUUUAAUAAAUCGGGAAAUCUAAAAGGUAAAUACAGAGCAACACUCUGGGAGUUUUUUAGAACAAGGAGUUUUCAUAUAAAAAAAAAAAAGAAAAAAAAAAAGAGAGAGACGUCUCGCAGAACACCACGCGCAAGCUGUCUGUCUGUCUUGUACAACAUAUUGUGUCUGUGGAAAUGAGAUCAUUUUGUUUGAGUGAGUGGGGGAGAGACUGCUUGGAUCCGCGGAGAUUGAUGUCUGUGCGCUAAUGGGUUUUUGUGUGUAAGUCUGUGUGUGUAGAUUUGUGCGUAUGACAGAGCUGAGAAUAGCAACUGAAGCGUAAGAGGUGCAUUUGAUCAGGAUAUUAGUGAAAAUAAAUAGAAUUGUGCAGCAUGGAUAUCAAUGGGAUGACAGAUCGAUGUAUUUGUGGCUUUUUUGCCGCAACAAAGCGUUCUGAGUGCAACCAGCAGUUAGUCGAGGCAAAAAACAAAAAACAAAAAAAACAAAAAAAAAACGGAACUUUAGAAGCUCCGUUUCGCGGGGGAAACAUUUUAGUAAUGGACCGAAUAGAUGAUUAUCUCGGCUAGUGGGGGAAAAUGACUAAAAAAAACGUGAAACGUAAUGAGAUAAAAGAUGACAGGCGAGUGGCGAGAUGUUAAACCUUGUUUCUGCGGAGGCGCGGCGUCGGACAGCCGGCUUGCCUAUUGCCUCCUUUUCUCUAUUCUUUAUUUAUUUACAGGUCUGUUGGUUGCUGAACGUGGAAGCAGAUGGCUUGGUGGUCAGUGUGGCGUCGAGUAUUGAACCCAGGGCGUGAUGGAUGAGUGUUUGGAGCUGAUAUGGUGGACAUGUUAAAGCACCCAUCGACAUACAAUUGUGAUUGUCCUGGACAUUGAACGCCUGUGGGCUGUUUCACCCCACCAGCAGGUCAACCUGGUAUGAAGCAACCAAGUCCUGACAUGACCUCACCUCCUCAAGGUCAGUACCCCUGCAAGGGGAUAACUCUUCUGAUGACACACCCCUGAGCAUGGCCAGCUGCAUGAGCACUACAGACUCUGAGCUGUCAGCGGAAAAGACUGCAUGAACUUUUGGUGGACACUGGAGAUACAUAUGGGCCUCUGAGUUGUGGACUAAGACUGUCACUGAAUAUGAUACUGAGAGAAGAAACAGUGUCUGCCCUUGUGAUCUGAGGGGGAGAAAGCAUUGCUAGCAUCUAUGGAGGACUGAGAACAGAGCCUGCUACAACUGGUGUUCUCUCCAGCUAUGGAAGAUGCAACGUCUGGGUUCCUGCUCUUCCUCCCACCUGACCUGCCACACGUCACUCUGUUCUACGACAGCAACCGCACAGACUGGUAUCAUGAUUCUUUAAGGUAAAACACAGACAGUCAUUCUAGGAAUAUGUAUGUGGCACCUGAGCGUUUGGCAGCUGUUACUGCUGAACAAUUUAUAACGAUAUAUGAGGUCGGAUGAAACGAUUUCACACAUUUGUCUUUCUCUCCAUGUUGAGCACCACAAAGAAGUAGGGGCAUGGUUAAACAUUCCCUUCAGGCAACUGAUUGGGCUCCUACCAGCGUGCAGGUUUGUUGUUUUAAAAUAUACUCAUACCUUUUAAGUUAUCUGUGAUGUAACUGAUAAGUUUAUUUCAAACAUGAGUUUGAAGUGUUACCAUGGCCGGGAACGUACUGAUCAUCAUUAAUCAGCAGAAGGUCCACGGAGGUGGGAAUACUUUCAUGUGUUCCAGUUACAUUUAAGGUUAGUAAAGAUAAAAUACCAAUUUGCCAAGGAACGUGUCUUUCGUGGGCUGUGUUAUUUUCCGCAGGAACAACCAAUGUGUCCCCCAAUAACAAGCAAAGCGUUCUAACAAACCUAAACUACAGCGCGUGGAAGACACAUUAUAGUUUUGGGACUAAAUGGCUGCUGUGACAACUACAUGGUGGGUACGUUGAUCUCACGCAACCUUUGAGGGACCUCGGGAAAAUAUCAGGUAUGAUAAAGUUGAAUAAGAUUUUGAAUUGGAUUCAGGAUUCGAGGAAUUUUUUUUUUUCUUCUUACUUCACCAAAGAUUACCCUAUGCAGUUGAAUUGACUAUUAUUGACAGCUUCUUAUGUAAUGAUGGGUGUGGAGCAGAACCCGAUAUUCUGCAGAACAGUUAUUCCUUUAAACUGGAUUUAAUAGAAGACAGGUGAACAUAAACAGGAUCCAAAUAGAUUUAAGGCAGACAUCCAAACAAGGUGGACGGGAACUGGCGAACAGACUUGGCAGAGUAAACUGAAACAGGUAAUCCAAAACAGAAUCAAGGUGCCGGGGCUCUUACCAAAACAGAGAGAGUAACCGAGGAGGAACAGGAGCAUGGGCAUGUGAGUGUGACGGACCAACAAAUAACUGAGGAGCAAGUGAGGCUUAAAUAAAACAGGUGAGCAGAGGGAACUAAUUAACCAUAGGACGGUGGAAGCAAUAACGAUGCUGACAGAAGAAUAAACCUAAGACUGAGGAUAACACAAAGCACAGAACACAGAUAAGGACUAAUACAAAGACCGGAAAACUUAAAACCAUACACAGACUAAACAGGAACCUAAAAUAAGAUAGAACCUACAAAAGAAAUAAAACCAGAGGCAGGAGAGAACUAACUUCACCAAACAAUAAACCUAGACAAAAACAGAACGUUACAUUUUACUGUUGUUUCUGGAAUAAAACUAGUUUGAUUCCAAAAGGGGGAUGUACAUAUCAGUAAAUGUUAGAUAAA